UACGUAGGGUGCAAGCGUUAAUCGGAAUUACUGGGCGUAAAGCGUGCGCAGGCGGUUUUGUAAGUCUGUUGUGAAAUCCCCGGGCUCAACCUGGGAAUUGCGAUGGAGACUGCAAGGCUGGAGUCUGGCAGAGGGGGGUAGAAUUCCACGUGUAGCAGUGAAAUGCGUAGAGAUGUGGAGGAACACCGAUGGCGAAGGCAGCCCCCUGGGUCAAAACUGACGCUCAUGCACGAAAGCGUGGGGAGCAAACAGG
rnacentral:rRNA from 1 species